AAUCAAUGAACUUGAAUAAUAAGUAUAUGUUUUGAAAACAUAUUAAAAAAGUUUAAAUCUUUUAUUGAUUU
rnacentral:tRNA from 1 species